CACACACCGAAGUACUUUGCACAAUGCCCGGCUUCUAGCAGGUGUUCCGGAACCGGAACACCUGCUAGAAGCCGGGCAUUGUGCAAAGUACUUCGGUGCAUUG
rnacentral:pre_miRNA from 1 species